UACUGAAGGGUUGGUAGGGGACCAGAGAAUAGAGGAAGCAUUGUAGGUUCUAGAGUGGAGAAGGGACCAUCCAAAAUGGAGUUUGAAAGAGAAUUCUGGCCUUUGUGUUUAGAGUCUGGAAUUGUCAAGAGUCUGAAAGCACAGAAUAAGACUGCAGCUAGAGCAAUUUAGGCGCCAUAGUUUGUCAAAACAGGACUCUAGCCCUGAUCUGCUCUCUUCUGGGAGCAUCUGAUAGAACAAACAGAAACCCCUCUCCCACUGUUCUCCUGUGUCCAGAGUGGGAGGCAUAACUGCUUUGCCUCCAGUCAUCAUCUGGGGGCAUAUCUACUCUUCGAGGACCAGGGGUUCGGGACCCUGGAACAGGAUCUGAAUUCCAAGCUGACCUCAGGGGUACAUGAAGACUGCUAGAUGAGACGGGAUCUCACUGUGUUGCCCAGGCUGGUCUCGAACUGCUGGACUCAAGUCAUCCUCCCAUCUUGGCCUCCCAAAGUGCUGGAAUUACAGUGGACAACCUUCAAUGCACUGGUACUUUGUACCCUGACCUCUACUGUGAUGAACACUCAACUUGGGCAAGGAAGUGAAAUUCUCCAAAGGAAUUAUUAAGAUAAGGACCAGCAGUACAAUGAGCUUUUCACUGUAUGUCUGACCUGAAAGAAGAAAAUCUUUUCAGAGGACUCCUCUCUCCCCUUCAGUCGCCAAGACAAUGAGAGCUCUUGCUACAGAAUACUCAUGGUCAUUUCUUCCCCU
rnacentral:lncRNA from 1 species